ACGUGUGUACCACAUCAUCUCCACCAGAUCUCGGUGACGACCUUUUAAUCGGUGGCUUCGAUUCUCUAUGACUUGUAUAUAUACAAUAUAUAUAUAUAUAUAUAUAUCAGAGGUUUUUUUUGCAGUCUCUCUGCCGAAAUUAAAAUCCACAACAAUGAAUUUGGUUCUCUAUAAAAUUUGAUCACGUUUCUCUUGACCGCGUAUACGACUACAACGCGCAGCUUGUGGUAGUAGGAAAAAAAAUUGUUUUUCUCGUUGUGAAUGACGAUACAGAAAACACACAAAAACUCACGCACACACAUACACACACACACAUACAAGCCCAAAUAUAAGUGUACAAAAAACGACUUUUUAGAUUUUUACGAUUAGCUCACGUUUUUAAUUUCGUCUUUUCGCGACCUUUGCGUUCUAUGGAUUCGUAUAUAUAGUUUAAGGUAUGUGUGAGUGUGUGUAUGUGUGUGUGUGUGUGUGUGUGUGUGUGUGUGUGUGUAACCGCUAAAUUCGACUUUACAAUAUUUAUUGUAUUUGUUACGACUGGAAAAAAAGGACGUGCACG